CAACUCUAUUGCAUUGUACUUUCCCAAGCAUUUAGUACAAUGCUCUGCUCACAGUAAGAGUUCAGUAAAUAUGACAGAUAGUAACUAAAACCAGGAAGGUUGAUAUGACCCUUGGAAGAUUGACAGAGAAUUGUGACACACUCUCAUGACAAUCAAUCUUCAUACUAACUUAAAAGACGAACAAUAUGGUAGUAGUGACCAAUCUUUUCUGGGACUGGGCUUACCUUAACCUACCUGGAAAGUUAAGUUUCCCAGUGACCCCCGGAAGCCGGACUCACUAUCCAAAAACAAGCAGGAGGUCUCAGAAUAUUUAGUUUCCUGACACUGGAACAGUACCAGUGCACACAACUUCACAGGGUGGGUGGGACUUGAAGGGAGUGUUUGACAGCAGCUGCUGUGUGAUAAAUUGAAAGAAUACGCACAACUAAGGAAGAUAGAACAAAAGUUCCCUGAGGAAACCCGGCUUUUAUGGAGAGCGAUCUGCUGUUGGCAAGUUCCUCCAAGUCUUGUCCGUCGUGAUGAGGCAGUCAGUGGCCAUCGUUGUUCCACGUACUUUAAGUCUUCUGCCAGAAGUGUAGCAAGAUGCAGGAAAUCUUAGUUUAGCGAUCCAGAGACCUGUUGUGUAUCUUACAUGAUAGACCAGCCUCGUAUUACUAAUCAAUCUCCAGGUAUUUACGGAGCCCUUACCCUGUGCUGAGCACUAGACUUAAGCUCUUGGGAGUGAGCAAUGGAGAACUCUUAGAGACUAGUUCCCCCUCACUAGAGCCUUGCUGGAGAGGGGGAAAAUGAACCGGAUGCAGCAAUCUUUUAACUGCUUGUUGGAGUCAUAGUUGCUUUGCUAAGAAAAGGAGGCAUCCCCAGCCUCCAGAUAAUAAACCCUUUUCCCAAAUCAAAGUUUCACAGUAAAGGAUCAAACUGCCAAGCAUGCUCACAAAUGACGGGUUGUAGAGGCAGGAGAGGAAACUAAUGAUCACAAAAGCGAGCUGUCAGGUUGACUUUCUUGGCACUGUUCACAUACAUCUAGAAUUCCUCUCAAUUAGCACCCCUGCAUUUAUUCCUCCCCUUAUAGCAGGGCAGAGAACUCGGCCUCGUUGGCACAUGGGUGGAGAAACAUCAGGGCAGCAGGCCUCCGCUCAGAAGGAAAUGAAGAAAGCGAAUAAAAGCAAAGAUCUGAGAGAAUGGUCUACUCUCAGAGGGGUUUGGGGCAUUUGGUUCCGGGAAGAGCUUACUUGUAUACAGGAAAAGGUGGCCACUCCAGCCACACGUCUUCUCUCAAGAGGGAGGCUUCCUUAGCUCACCUGCUCACAGGGAGAGCUGACUGCAAAGUCAUGCCUUUCUGGAAACAGGGAAUUUUUCUUUGAAAGUGUUUUGCCGGAGGGCAUAGCUGACUAGGAAACCCAGGUCAUUAUGGGUUUCGGUUACGCGACUUGACCGAGGGAUGACUUGAACGAGAAGAAGGAACUGAGGACUUCUAAAAUUGGGGCCCCUCGAAGCAGGUCCAAGAUUUGGGUAUUCUGGGAAGUUUAGUCACCUGUGGGAAAUCAUAGUUUAGUGAUCCAGAGAUCUGUGGUGUUCCUAACCUGUUAGACCAGCAUAGUGUUAUCAGUCAAUCACAGAUUUUUUUAAGUCCUUCUUGAGACAGGCCCAAGACUGGGAUAUUCUCCAGGAAGGCAGGCAGCCCCCGACUUAGUUACACACAUACCUACUAACAAUCACUUGUUUUUGUUCCAACCAUUCUCACAGACACUGGUCACAACCUACGCAUCAGAAACAUGAUCCUCUUGCUCAUUUCAAUCAAUCCAGCAAUCACUUUAUUUGAAUUUUGGGGUACUCACCCAGUUGAAUAUUCACUCAGUUUGCAUAUUUAGAUCCAGUAUGAUUGACAAUCUGUAUAGAGUGUAGGUGGGCCAUGCCCUCUUAAAGCACCACCAGGGUAAAAGGUGGCUUCACCCUCAUCCAGAGAAGAGGUGGGAACCCAGCACUUCAGUGUCUUCUCCAAUCUAUCCAUAAAUGGCAAUAGUAAUCCGUAUUUAUAUCUCCCGGGAACUCUUGGAUCUUCCAUUAAAAAAAUCCUUACUAAGAGGUAUUUAUAUCUGUUUUUUUUCCCAAUACGGACUUGGAAAUAUACACCAAAUGGGGACAGAGCAAAGGGAGAGAGAGGUAAAAAGUCCAGAUCCGCUUUGGGGAAACUGAAGGGGGAAGCAAAUCAGUCCUGAAGAAAAAAAAUCAAAAAGUUUGGAGUGAUUCCUUCCCCCCUCCACGUGUAACCCACUAUUGUUUCAAAGUGCUGGGGCACUUUAUUAUGUAAGAAGCCUGCAAGCAUUUGGCCUUGGCGGACCUGGAUCAGGAACUGAAACUGGUCUGAGACUCCAUUUAUAAAGAUAAAAGUAGGGAACAGAUAAAAGAUGAGAACUUCUUUUAGCAGAUAAGGCAUGGUUCAGAGCUCUAAUGGCUUAUUUUCCCUCCAGGGAGGGUUGGUGCAGGGUGGGGAAGAUAGGUUGAUGACCAGAUGGGCUCAAAUGAUAGACCUUGCAGUAAGUCACUGGCAAUAAGAAUCAUUUCCUACUCUGGCUACUAUGGGUCAGGGCAGUUCUAUGCACCUCCUCUAAUUUAAUCUUCAAAAAUAUGAUUUUUUUCCAAACAGAAAAGUUGCUCCAACUUUUUCAAUAGGGCUCUGAGGAAGGGGAGGAGGGCAUAGGGGCCUCCCAACAGGGAUGAUGGUGAUGCGGAUUUCUAGCUAAUCAGUCAAUGCUAUUUUUUUGAUCGCUUGCUGUAGAGCACUAUAUUACGCACUGGGGAGAACAUAAUACAGUAGUGGUGGUAGACACAAUCCCAGGUGUCCUUUAAGGAUGAAUAAGUGAUUGAAAUUGGUGAAAUACUGCCCAAUAUAAAAAAGAGGGGCUUUUCUUGAGUCUGUAAACCCUGCUCCCUUCCAUCUCUGGCAAAAUAAAUAGAUUUCAUGAGAAUUAAAGAAGAGGCAAAGGCAAUGUAGGACUGCAGAGUAGCUGAAAUAGUAUUUAUUAAGCACUUACUGUGUGCAGAACUCUAACAAAGCGCCGGGAAACGGCACAAGAAGCAGAGUAGCAAAAUGUUUCCGGUUGGGAUUGAGACUCAGUUUCUGACUCUCGAGGGCCCCAUGGUCUAAAAAGACUGGAACCAAUCUUUGUUACCUGUUGGGAUUUUAUUAGAACGGUCCCAGGUGAACUAGCGUGCGGUAAUGCCUUUCUUCAGGUCAAGAAUUUUGUGAUGAGAAUGAGCCCAACUGCCCGCAGUGACUCCGGACAAGAAGAUGGCAUGUGGUGUCAUAUGCGUUAACCCAGACACAAAGAAUAGCAUGGUGUUGAUGUCAUAAACACCAUUUUGAGAACAAGGCCAAAAGCUACACCAAUGUAACUACCCCGAGUGACCCCUGACCCCAUCAGUUGUUUCAGAGACUUUCCGUAUCUUUGAACGCGGUCGCUUCCAAGCAAAGAAACUUGGGAAGCGAGGCAGGGUGCUGAAAAAAAAAAAAGAAAUGCCAUACUAAAAGGUAGUAUCUGGUGCCUUUUCCACAUCAAGCACGAGGCAGAUGACGGCUCACUAGACCUCGUAUUCCUCUUGUCGCUGAGACUUUGAGCCUAUUUUGUCUGUCUGUGGUGUGCUUUAAUUAUUUUUAAUCAUCAUUCUUGAUGAGUCUGUCUCCGAUCCCUUCUCCCCACUUGAAAUUUUUUGAUGUGAGUCACCCCCAAGGCCAGGGAUGAUGUCUAAUUUCCAUCUGUGUCUUUUCUCCCAGAAUUUAGCACAGUGCCCUGUAUACAAUAAGUGCUUAAUCAAUACUUUUAUCACCUCCUUAGUUUCACGGGUUCCCCCGCUGAGGAAGUGGCUGGCUAUGAAGUCAGAUCACUCUCUGUGAGAGGGGCACUCUUUUCUGUAUAAGAGUUUUGUCUGUAGGCAUAUAGCUGGCAUAGUUUCCCAGAGAUAGACGUCUCCCAUAGAUAGAAAUGUCUUUUCCUCGUUUUGGUCGCUUGUGUGCGGAGGAGUUGGUUCCUCUCAAAGUGGAGGACAAGUGAGCAGGCCUAGGAACACUAUCUCCUUGAAAGGGAGUUAGUUAACACAGGUGAUGUAAGCAAAUGUCUGCUCCCGCUGGAACCUUCAGGGAGGUGGCUUGCCAACCUAGUUCCAGCCAUACCUCAAUACAUACCCACUGUCAUGACCUCAUUUUUGUUUUCUCACAAACAAACCUCUGUGAGACCUUUACUCCUGUUAUGGCCACCUGACAUGUUAAAAACAUGGGUGUGUUCAUGGGAAUACCAGACCAGGAGAUGCUGAUGACAAUCGCGUCUGUUACGACAGAUGUGAUUUUCUGAGUGUCUGAGCUCUGAGCACUUGAAUCAGAAAUUACGUGCAAGGAAAAAACGUUUAAAGAAAAUGGGGGAGGAAGAAAAGAUAAGGGCAAUGGAGCGAUGGAAUCCUGUAAUCUGGACUCCUCUCAAGCUAAAUGUAAAGCUUCCAUUGUUCUUCCCGCCCCUGAUUGCCCUUACAAACUUAAGGCAGGUUCUCCAAACUUGCUCAGAUAAAAAGAAACCAUGGAAUGAUACUGGGCUUGGAAUCACAGAACUCACUUUAGGGGCCCAAAGGUCCAAAUGCCCAUUUUAGAAUCUACGGCGCCUCUAACAGUGAGGAUACGAGACGGCACCCCUCCCCUCGGUGGCACCUGAAGGAAUCCCACUGGGCAGAGAAGCUGCCUGUGUGCGCGAUGUCCCCUUCUGGGCCUUGUCUGCUCCCCUUGGAUCGGAGAGUUGUGGCCUGCCAAGAGAUGGGUGAGCGACGCUGUCCUCUCCUCUCAUUGGGCCUUCGGGUGGGUGGAGAAGCGGCAGCGCCGGUGGCCUGGGGAGGCGGUCUCGAAUGCCCCCUUACCCUGAAGAGACACGGGAGAAAGCCAGCGGGGCCGUUUUGCACCUCCCGCUGUUCUUCGGAUCAGUCCCACGAGAGACGUUAUUCCCCACUUUACCAACGGUGUCCUUUGGGUGCCCCCCGCCAGCUGGACAAGUAGAAGCAGCAACGCAGCUGCCCGUCUAUAGAGAGGUUUUAGUUUUUUUCUCUGCAGAAUGGCAUCGUCUGGGUCUUCGCUGUCGGGCACGCGACGUAUGCCGUUUGUAAGGAAGACCCCAAUGUGUGGACACCCAUCCUCUAACGGGACCACGCCAGGAUGAGGGAAAUGUUAUUUUUCACCAUAAUUGCUUCUUUCCACUUGGUGCAAGGACCCACCAAACCUAAAAGCUGGGCAGCCAGGUUAGGGAGGGCCCUGGCGUGACCGAGGGGUGACUGUGGUGGGUGGUUCAGUGGCUUUGACCGUCCCUUUCUGUCGCUAGAUACAAGAGAGACAUCAUCCCACAGAAUGGCAAGUGUCUCUUCCCACUUGGCGAAAGCGACUGGACCCUGCUCUGCCUUGGGAAUUCACCGAUUGGAAACCCGGGGACAGGAAUGCAGAAUAAUAGCCCGAGAUCUUCUCCAGAGUUGGAAUGGAACUAGUUGUUGCCACCUAAAACAGGCUUAGCCCUCCGCAAGUGGAGAACAGAGAAGUCCAUGGCUGGCCCAGAUCAACAGCACCAUAAAGUAUAUCAAUCAAUGUUA